UGAUUUCACACUGUCAAGAAAAGUCUCUAUCGAGGUUAAAGGUACCCGUACCGCAAACCGACACAGGUGGGUGAGGAGAGUAUCCUAAGGCCAGCGAGAGAACUGUUGUUAAGGAACUCGGCAAAAUGACCCCGUAACUUAGGGAUAAGGGGUGCCACCAUCAGGUGGCCGCAGAGAAUAGGCCCAAGCGACUGUUUACCAAAAACAUAGGUUUCUGCUAAGUCGCAAGACGAUGUAUAGGAGCUGACGCCUGCCCGGUGCUGGAAGGUUAAGGGGAUCUGUUAGAGCAAUCGAAGCAGUGAACUUAAGCCCCAGUAAACGGCGGCCGUAACUAUAACGGUCCUAAGGUAGCGAAAUUCCUUGUCGGGUAAGUUCCGACCCGCACGAAAGGCGUAACGAUUUGGGCACUGUCUCAACAACAGACUCGGUGAAAUUGUAAUUCCGGUGAAGAUGCCGGAUACCUGCGACAGGACGGAAAGACCCCAUGGAGCUUUACUGUAGCUUGACAUUGGGUCUUGGUACUACAUGUACAGGAUAGGUGGGAGGCUUUGAAACCAGGACGCCAGUUUUGGCGGAGCCAUCCUUGGGAUACCACCCUUGUAGUACUGGGACUCUAACCAUAGGCCAUGAAUCUGGUCUUGGGACACUGUCAGGUGGGCAGUUUGACUGGGGCGGUCGCCUCCCAAAAGGUAACGGAGGCGCUCAAAGGUUCUCUCAGUACGGUCGGAAAUCGUACGU
rnacentral:rRNA from 1 species